AUUGCUUCCAUGAUGCAGAUUGGCAACUUAAAUAUUAAAUCAAAGCUGCAAGUCCCAUAUUGAAUAACUACUUCAAAUUUACUCCUGGCUGGUUGUGUUUUCUGAUUCUAGGGAAGCUCAAUGGGCUAAAUGAAAGUGUGGACUGCUGCAUUCUGGAGCUGGUCUGUAGAACACAAAGGCCCUCACACAGAUGCAGAUCUCUUGAAGAAGCAGGGAGAGUUCUCAGGGAUUGUGAAACUGUGGAUAUAAGACAGCUGAGGUGGAAAGUCAUGGCAGCUAGCGAAAGAGACCAAAAAGGCAGAUUCCAAGAGCUGAGCAGUGCGAUUAGGAAGACGUGCCUUUUGGGGGCUGAUGGAAAUCGGAUGUGUUGAGACUGCUAUCUGAAGGGAAUUUGGGCCUACCACCUGUAUGAGUAAAGGAACUGAAUCUCUACCUGGGAAAUACAAAAGGCUGUAUGGCUCGGUAGCUGAGUUUAAUGCUGUAUAUGGUGUGGGAGGAGUGCUAGUAGUUUUGUUUCUGUUGUAUCAAAAUUAUUUUUUCUGUUUGAUGUAUCAUUUGACUGUCAAUUAAUGUUUGAAUUAUGUUAAUUUAAGUUUGAUUACUACAGUAUAAGUUUUAAGAAGUAAAAUCUAGUCCACUUGUUUUUUUUUUCCUUUGGCAUGCUGAAAAUUCCUUUCUUUUUAAGUUUUCAGCCUCCUCUGGGAUAGUAAAUGCGGCACCUUAUAAAACGUCUUUUGGGAAAUCCAAAUACAUUACAGGACUGGAAUAAAUUUGUGAAAUACUGUUUCCCCUUCAUAAAACCACGUUGACUCUGCUUGAUUGUAUUUCCAUUUUCUAACUGCCCUGUUACUACUACCUUAAUAAUGGAUUCCAGCAUUUUCCCAAUGGCCUAUAGUUUCCUUUCUGGAAUAGAAACAUUACAUUUGAGGUUUUCCAAUUUGGUGGGACCUUUCCAGAAUCUAAGGAAUUUUAGAAGAUUACAACCAAUGCAUCCACUUUCUCUCCAGCUACUCCAAGGCCAUGGGAUGUAGACAAUGAAGUCCAGGGGACUUAUCAGUCCUUAGUCCCAUUCGUUUGCCUAGUAUAUUUUCUCUAGUGAUAAUGAUUGUUUUAAGUUCCUCCCUUUUGUUCCCUGCUUUUGUACUAUUCUUAGUAUAAGACAUUAAAAGCAUCCUGUGAAAAUA